UUUUAAACAAGAAAAACUGUGCACAGUAUUUGAAAUUAGUGCAGAAGUUACUCCGCAAACUUUUUCACUAUGAAGCAUGGGGACGGCAGUUUGCUGGACGUACGCGUCCCGGGGACGUCCCGGGGACGAUACGCGAAAAAUACGAGUAAAAUACGUCCCCGGGGACGUAUUUUUAAAGCCCAUUUUUUUAAUUAUUUUUUAAAUAAAAAAUACGGCAGAAAUACGUUGAAAAUACGGUCAAAUACGUAUUUAUCUCAAAAGAUACGUUUCAGACCUAAUUUUAAACUUCUAACUUAUUAAACCCUAAUUCGCGCCUCCCCCACUUACCAUUUACGUUCUCCUCUCUUCUCCUCUCUGACCCACCCUGCGCCACCCCGCCGCUCGCCGUCGCGCCGCCCUACGCCCCGCCGCUGUCGCCGUCGCACCGCCCUGUGCGCUUGGAGCAGUCCGGCCACCUUAACAACUAAAGAAUUGGAGAGAGUUGUCUUCAAUGAUGAUGAAGAUUUGAGGAAAGAGGAAGAGGAGGAGAAAGACGAUGAUGAGUGAUCUGGGCUACUAACAUUUUAUUGUGUUUCAUGAAGUAUUAUAUGUUAAGAAGACUAUUUUAUUUCAUUAUUUGCUAUUUGGAACUUUGUUAUGAUGAAUUAGUAGUGUUUUACUUAUA